GUCUAUGGCCAUGCCACCCUGAACGUGCCUGAUCCCAUCUGAUCUUGGAAGCUAAACAGGGUUGGGCCUUGUUAGUACUUGGAUAGGAGACCACCUAGGAAUACCAGGUACUGUAGGUU
rnacentral:rRNA from 1 species